AAAUCUUACCGGGUCCGGACACACUGAGGAUUGACAGGAAUUAUCGUGUUUUAAAAAUCUUCUUCGGAAUUUUUUUUUUCACGUGUUAAAUAUGCUAGUCCUUUCAUGAUUAUGUGAUAGGUGGUGCAUGGCCGUUCUUAGUUCGUGGAGUGAUCUGUCUGCUUAAUUGCGUUUCACAACGAGCUUACACUAUAACGCAUUGUUUGUGAGGUAGUCUGACCCCUUGGCUUCGGCCACAGCGCGUGUCUUUCUGCCAUCAUCACAUCAUGCUUCGUAAAGCUCUGAAAGCAACGAACGUGACCGCAACCUCUUGUUGCCUGUAUUACAAACUGACGUCUCAUUUUUUAAAUGUGCGUUAUAUAAACAGGCCUUAUAUUAAUAAACUAGAGGGACCGCUGCUUUUUCCUUAAACCAGAGGAAGGUUGCGGCAAUAA
rnacentral:rRNA from 1 species